ACCCUUCCCCCAUCUCUUCGCUUCUCUCUCUACUUAACCAGCAAACCUUUCCCCAUCUCUUCGCUCCCAAACCUAAUCCCUUCCCCAUCUCUUCGCUCCCAAACCUAGUCCCUUCCCCAUCUCCCAAACCUAAUCACUUCUCCCUUUCUUCGCUCCUAAGCCUAAUCCUUCAUCACUUUGCUCCUAAACCUAAUCCUUCAUCAGUUUGCUCCUAAACCUAAUCCUUCAUCGGUGGGGUUUCGGAUUGGUAGUAUGGCGAGACAUUAUGAAGAAGACG
rnacentral:lncRNA from 1 species